UACGUAGGGCGCAAGCGUUAUCCGGAAUUAUUGGGCGUAAAGAGCUCGUAGGUGGUCUGUUGCGUCCGCUGUGAAAACCUAAGGCUUAACCUUGGGCCUGCAGUGGAUACGGGCAGACUAGAGGUAGGUAGGGGAGAAUGGAAUUCCCGGUGUAGCGGUGAAAUGCGCAGAUAUCGGGAGGAACACCGGUGGCGAAGGCGGUUCUCUGGGCCUUACCUGACACUGAGGAGCGAAAGCGUGGGGAGCGAACAGG
rnacentral:rRNA from 1 species